rnacentral:rRNA from 1 species
AGAGCGAACGCUGGCGGCAUGCUUAACACAUGCAAGUCGCACGGUCAGCAAUGGCAGUGGCGGACGGGUGAGUAACGCGUAGGAAUCUAUCCAGAGGUGGGGGACAACGGUUGGAAACGACUGCUAAUACCGCAUGUUACCUGAGGGUUAAAGGCGCAAGUCGCCUUUGGAGGAGCCUGCGUCUGAUUAGCUUGUUGGUGGGGUAAAGGCUUACCAAGGCGACGAUCAGUAGCUGGUCUGAGAGGAUGAUCAGCCACAUUGGGACUGAGACACGGCCCAAACUCCUACGGGAGGCAGCAGUGGGGAAUAUUGGACAAUGGGGGCAACCCUGAUCCAGCAAUGCCGCGUGUGUGAAGAAGGUCUUCGGAUUGUAAAGCACUUUUGGCAGGGACGAUGAUGACGGUACCUGCAGAAUAAGCCCCGGCUAACUUCGUGCCAGCAGCCGC